rnacentral:rRNA from 1 species
CUUAGUGGCGGACGGGUGAGUAACGCGUGAGCAACCUGCCUUUCAGAGGGGGACAACGUUUGGAAACGAACGCUAAUACCGCAUAAGACCACACUUCCACAUGGGAGAGGGGUCAAAGGAGCAAUCCGCUGAAAGAUGGGCUCGCGUCCGAUUAGAUAGUUGGGGGGGUAACGGCCCACCAAGUCGACGAUCGGUAGCCGGACUGAGAGGUUGAACGGCCACAUUGGGACUGAGACACGGCCCAGACUCCUACGGGAGGCAGCAG